rnacentral:rRNA from 1 species
GCUAUACUGCAGUCGAGCGAACAGAGAAGGAGCUUGCUCCUUCGACGUUAGCGGCGGACGGGUGAGUAACACGUGGGCAACCUACCUUAUAGUUUGGGAUAACUCCGGGAAACCGGGGCUAAUACCGAAUAAUCUGUUUCACCUCAUGGUGAAACACUGAAAGACGGCAUCUCGCUGUCGCUAUAGGAUGGGCCCGCGGCGCAUUAGCUAGUUGGUGAGGUAACGGCUCACCAAGGCGACGAUGCGUAGCCGACCUGAGAGGGUGAUCGGCCACACUGGGACUGAGACACGGCCCAGACUCCUACGGGAGGCAGCAGUAGGGAAUCUUCCACAAUGGGCGAAAGCCUGAUGGAGCAACGCCGCGUGAGUGAAGAAGGAUUUCGGUUCGUAAAACUCUGUUGUAAGGGAAGAACAAGUACAGUAGUAACUGGCUGUACCUUGACGGUACCUUAUUAGAAAGCCACGGCUAACUACGUGCCAGCAGCCGCGGUAAUACGUAGGUGGCAAGCGUUGUCCGGAAUUAUUGGGCGUAAAGCGCGCGCAGGUGGUUUCUUAAGUCUGAUGUGAAAGCCCACGGCUCAACCGUGGAGGGUCAUUGGAAACUGGGAGACUUGAGUGCAGAAGAGAUAGUGGAAUUCCAAGUGUAGCGGUGAAAUGCGUAGAGAUUUGGAGGAACACCAGUGGCGAAGCGACUAUCUGGUCUGUAACUGACACUGAGGCGCGAAAGCGUGGGGA